UUCGCAAUCAGCUCGACUCCGGGAAAACACGUCCUUUUAUAAACAACAAUUUUAUUAUAUUCUGAAGUUGUAUUACGAUCUAUCAGUGCUUUAGUGUUUUUUCUUUUGUGUUGCCACUCGCGAAUGAAGACGUCAUGAAGCCCAAAACAACUAUUGGUCACUGUACAGGACUAGUAAUCUUUUUAUACUCUUGUGCGUGUUCCAAUAGUUAUUGUGGGUGCUUCAAAUUCUACGAUGAAGACAGAAGAAUUCGUCGGAAAUAUUAAACCUUAGUUAAAUAUAUAGCCAUUGGUCGGGGAGAGGCGUGUCACAACCUGAAGCCACUAGGCCAGCAUUGCUCUAGUAGAAAAAUCAAAAUGAUUUUCUUUGUUUACCUUUACUAUUCUUAGCAAGGGAAUGUUUAGUUUAAUUUAUUUCCAUAGCUUAUCAUUUAAAAAAAUCAAAUACACCACUACUCGCAAUACUCGUCGAGCGAGUUAUCUUCCCGAAGCCGCGCA